CUCUAAACAUGGACCGUGACUAUAACUAUGAUACGCGUUAAACUAGCUCUAAACAUUUAAUCUUCCGCGUUGUGUGCUGGGAGGCGCGCGGUAUAUAUGCGGACAUAAACAGCGUCUAAACCGCUAGCAGCUGAGAGCAAUUCAGACCCACGUGAAAUCCCAGCCAAUGACAGAACAGGGAGGAGACAGAAACAUAAACAAAACACACGUGUCCAGAUAUCAUUACAGUCAACAACGGAAAAGCAGGUGCUCGCGCAUUCGCGAUUAGAGCACGCUGCUUCAAGGGGGAAUCGUGACACCCAGGCCCUGAAGCAGCAAAGCAUCCCCACACCACCACAAUGCUUGACCGUAGGUAUUAUGUUCUUUUUGUGGAAUCUUGUGUUUGUUUAAUGCCAGAUGUAGCAGGACCCCUGUCUUCCAAACAAUUCCGCUUUCAAAUCAUCAAUCUAUGGAACAUUCUCCCUAAAAGAUUUGAACAUCAUCAAGAUGUGUUUUGGCAAAAUUCAGAUGAGCCUUAAUAUUCUUCUAGGUUAGCAAUCAUUUUCACCUCACAAUUCUUCCAUGGAUGUCAUUUUUGCCCUGUGUCUUUCUGAUAGUGGAAUCAAGAACUCCACUGACCUUUCUUGAAAAACCAGAGUUUUUCCAUUUGGAGAUAAUGGCCCCCAACUGUGGUUCUUUGGAGUCCCAGAGCCUUUGAAAUAGCUUUGUAACCCUUCCCAGACUGAUGUAAUUCAAUCACCUUUUCCCUCAUCAUUUCUGGAAUUUCUUUCAACUUUGGCAUAGUAUGUUACUAGCAUGAAGCAGUGAACAGUGCGACUAUGAGGAAGGCCUCCCUUCCACCAAGUGAUUGGCUACUCUGCUUGUCUACAUAUGCUGUCAGGCCAUGAAAGGCUCCUGAAUGCAACAUAACUCUGUGUGCUCACGGGAUGUGCUGAUCUGCUCACAGAUAUCCUUAUAUUCAUCUUUAUGACUGAAUCUAUGACUUCUCCCUGCAUGUUUCACCCCCAUGCCAGUGCCAAAAAAGGUCUCCUGUCCUGUCUCAAUGAUUACUGGCCAUAGCACUCACCCAAUCAUCAUGAAGUGCUUUGAGAGUCUAGUCAUGAGGCACAUAAAGAUCAAACUCCAUCUCUUUGGACCCCCUGCAGUUUUCUUGGCACCACAUCAGCUCUAAGGUCACAUCCAAGGUCCCCAGGGCUCAUCCCGAACAAAAACGCAACUUAAGUGGGAUUGCUCUUCUUUGACUUUACUUCAGUAUCAGAAACAACAAUGAUACAAAAGCUGAGGUCUGAACACCCUGCAGCUUGAUCAUAUGUUUCCUAAACUUGAGAACUCAGACAAAUUACACAUAACCUCCAGCAACACCAAACAGAAUCCUGAAGCCCCACAACCGUGUCAUGUGUUUUCUAUUCAUACUGUACUUAACUUUACCAAGAGGUUUUCGACUGACUUAAUCCCAGUCCCAUGUUUUUACCUGUGCGUCUUCCUUUUUCCAACUAUCCUUCAGUUGCGAAAAAAAAAGUUGACACUCAGCUGUCAGUAGACCUUGGUUCAAACAUGUGUGCCACAGCUCCAAAAAUAUAUGGCAUCUCAUUGUCUUGAUAGAUGUGGCUGAAGGCAGUGUUGAUAAAAGCUCCACAACUGAAAAAAUGCUCUCAUUAAACUCUUCAUUGUUCUCCA